AUCCAGACUCCUACGGGAGGCAGCAGUGGGGAAUAUUGCACAAUGGGGGAAACCCUGAUGCAGCGACGCCGCGUGAGCGAUGAAGUAUUUCGGUAUGUAAAGCUCUAUCAGCAGGGAAGAAAAUGACGGUACCUGACUAAGAAGCCCCGGCUAACUACGUGCCAGCAGCCGCGGUAAUACGUAGGGGGCAAGCGUUAUCCGGAUUUACUGGGUGUAAAGGGAGCGUAGACGGCUGUGCAAGCCAGAUGUGAAAGCCCGGGGCUCAACCCCGGGACUGCAUUUGGAACUGUGUGGCUGGAGUGUCGGAGAGGCAGGCGGAAUUCCUAGUGUAGUGGUGAAAUGCGUAGAUAUUAGGAGGAACACCAGUGGCGAAGGCGGCCUGCUGGACGAUGACUGACGUUGAGGCUCGAAAGCGUGGGGAGCAAACAGGAUUAGAUACCCGAGUAC
rnacentral:rRNA from 1 species